GAUGAACGCUAGCGACAGGCUUAACACAUGCAAGUCGAGGGGUAACAGGGUAGCAAUACCGCUGACGACCGGCGCACGGGUGAGUAACGCGUAUGCAACCUGCCUAUAACUGGGGAAUAGCUCCCUGAAAGGGGAAUUAACACCGCAUAACACUAUUGAUUCGCAUGGAUUGGUAGUUAAAUGUAGCGAUACAGGUUAUAGAUGGGCAUGCGUGACAUUAGCUAGUUGGUGAGGUAACGGCUCACCAAGGCUACGAUGUCUAGGGGUUCUGAGAGGAAGGUCCCCCACACUGGUACUGAGACACGGACCAGACUCCUACGGGAGGCAGCAGUGAGGAAUAUUGGUCAAUGGGCGCAAGCCUGAACCAGCCAUGUCGCGUGCAGGAAGACUGCCCUAUGGGUUGUAAACUGCUUUUAUAGUAGAAGAAACACAUCUACGAGUAGAUGUCUGCCAGUAUACUAUGAAUAAGC
rnacentral:rRNA from 1 species